rnacentral:rRNA from 1 species
UACGUAGGUGGCAAGCGUUGUCCGGAAUUACUGGGUGUAAAGCGCGUGUAGGCGGGAGGCCAAGUCUGCUGUGAAAUCGCCCGGCUCAACUGGGCGGGGUCGGUGGAAACUGGUCACCUGGAGGACGGUAGAGGCGAGUGGAAUUCCGGUGUAGUGGUGAAAUGCGUAGAGAUCGGGAGGAACACCAGUGGCGAAGGCGGCUCGCUGGGCCGGACCUGACGCUGA